ACCCUUUGGGUCCUUGGGGGAAGGAUUUUCUGCCUGAAGAUGGGCCCGCCUCGGAUUAGCUAGUGGGUGGGGUAAAGGCUCAGGAAACUGAAGAUCCUAGCUGGUCUAGAAGGAGGAACAGCCACACUGGGACUGAGACACGGCCCCGACUCCUACGGGAGGCAGCAGUGGGGGAUUUUCCGCAAUGGGCGCAAGCCCGACGGAGCAAUGCCGCGGGAGGGAGGAAAACGCUUUGGUGUUAAACCUCUUUCUCGGGGAAGAAAAUCGUUCCCAGUGAAUGACCCGGUUUUUGAGGAAUAAGCAUCGGCUAAUUCCGUGCCAGCAGCCGCGGUAAUACGAGGGGGGCAAGCGUUCUUCGGAAUUAUUGGGCGUAAAGCGUCCGCAGGCGGCAUUUAAACCCUAGUGUUAAAUCCCAGGGCCUCAACCGCAUAAGGGCCUUGGAGACUGAAAAGCUAGAGUUAGGUAGAGGCAGUGGGAACUCCGAGUGUAGCGGUGAAAUCCGGGAACAUCAUGGCGAACACCGGUGGUGAAAGCGCUCUACUGGUCCGUAACUGACGCUGAGGAGCGAAAGCUAGGGGAGCGAACAGGAUUAGAUACCCCGGUAGUCCUAGCCGUAAACGAUGGAUGCUAGGUGUCGCUUGUAUCUGGCUGAGCCGUGACGCAGCUAACGCGUUAAGUGUCCCGCCGGGGUAAUACGCACGCAAGUGUUAAACUCAAAGAAAAUGACGGGGGCCCACACAAGUGGAGCAGUGUGUGGUUUAAUUUAAUGCAACGCGCAGAACCUUACCCUGACUUGACAUGUCCCGUAUCUUUNCGAAAGAUGGUCCUUCAGUUCGGGGCGGUCACACAGGUGGUGCAUGGCUGUCGUCAGCUCGUGUCCUGAGAUGUUGGGUUAAGUCCCGCAACGAGCGCAACCCUCGCUGUUAGUUGCCAUCAUUCAGUUGGGCACUCUAGGGGAACUGCCGGUGACAAGCCGGAGGAAGGUGGGGAUGACGUCAAGUCCUCAUGGCCCUUACGCGUGGGGCUACACACGCGCUACAAUGGCGGUGACAGUGGGAAGCGAAGCUGCGAAGGCAAGCUAACCCCUUAAAACCCGUCUCAGUUCGGAUUGUAGUCUGCAACUCGCCUGCAUGAAGGCGGAAUCGCUAGUAAUCGCGGAUCAGC
rnacentral:rRNA from 1 species